rnacentral:rRNA from 1 species
UACGUAGGGGCAAGCGUUGUCCGGAUUCAUUGGGCGUAAAGAGCGUGUAGGUCGGCCAGGUAGGUCGGUUGUUGAAAACUGGAGGCUCAACCUUCAGAGGUCGACCGAAACCAUCUGGCUAGAGUCCGGGAGAGGAGAGUGGAAUUCCUGGUGUAGCGGUGAAAUGCGCAGAUAUCAGGAAGAACACCCGUGGCGAAAGCGGCUCUCUGGAACGGUACUGACGCUGAGACGCGAAAGCGUGGGGAGCGAUCCGG